GUUGCCAGCAUUUAAGGUGGGGACUCAGAUGAGACUGCCGGUGACAAACCGGAGGAAGUGGGGACGACGUCAAGUCAUCAUGGCCCUUAUGUCCUGGGCUACACACGUGCUACAAUGGCCGGUACAGAGUGAAGCGAAACCGCGAGGUGAAGCAAAACGCAGAAAGCCGGUCUCAGUACGGAUUGGAGUCUGAAACUCGACUUCAUGAAGUUGGAAUCGCUAGUAAUCGCGCAUCAGCAUGGCGCGGUGAAUACGUUCCCGGGCCUU
rnacentral:rRNA from 1 species